GCCGUGGUCACCCUGGACUCCGGUUUCUGUGAACUAGUGAAGUUCCUGUGUUGGACCCAAUUUCAAGCUAAAAGCCCCCACUCACUCACUGUAGGACUUCCUUUCGGGAGGGGCCAUUUAUGGUGACUUCAGUGGCGCGUAAACUUUGUGAGGACUGAGCAUUUUCUCCGAUUUGUUCAUUGCUAUGUCCCCAGUGCUCAGAACACUUGGCACAGAGUGGCAAGGAUGAUCUAAAAGUAGCUCUGAGAGGACUCACUGGAAAUGUCUAUAAUCCCAGCACUAGGGGUCAACAUGCCAGCCUGUGCUCAGAAAGCCAACCAAAUAAUAAAACAAAACGUGAGAGGAUAGUUUAAAAGAGACACUUAGGAUAUCAGAUCAUUGAAGCACUGGAUCCCAUAGCCUUGAAUUUUCUCCGGGAAUCUCAUCUGGGGAAAAGAAAAUGCUGAAGUCCUAUUGCCAGUCCAAGGAGGGACUCCCCUCCCUGACAGAUGUCACACGUUCCUGACAGCUUACUGGAGCCGAGACAAUGGUCAGUAGAUGGUGAGUGGAACACAUGUGUCCAGGACUGCCCAGCUGGGGAUGCCUCUGCUCUUCUGCUUAAAUCCAGACCUCACACCAGUGUCCUGACGAUGGACAUGUCUUGGGCUGUCAUGGGGCUCUUUAUUUGUUCCUUUUCUAAUAUGGCCACAUUGAAUAAAUCUCCUUUCUCUGUUUUUCACUAUUA